AACUUUGUGCAGUGGCAGUAUCGUAGCCAAUGAGGUUUAUCUGAGGCACGAUUAUUGCUAAUAGAAAAAAAAAACAUCAAACCCAAAUGUGGGGCAGUCUAUAAAACAGCCACCAAUAAUCCUGAAAACUGUCAAGGUU
rnacentral:snRNA from 1 species